AGCCUUAUCACAUUGAAACACCAGUUAUCAUACAAUCACUGAAGUUAAGCAAUGUUGAGCUUGGUCAGUACCUAGACGGAUGACCACUUGGGAAUACCAGGUGCUAUA